rnacentral:rRNA from 1 species
AAUCAACGCUGGCGGCGUGCCUAACACAUGCAAGUCGCACGAGAAAGGGGAGCAAUCCCUGAGUAAAGUGGCGCACGGGUGAGUAACACGUGAAUUAUCUACCUCCGAGUGGGGAAUAACUGAGAGAAAUCUUAGCUAAUACCGCAUAACACUUACGAGUCAAAGCAGCAAUGCGCUUGGAGAGGAGUUCGCGGCAGAUUAGUUAGUUGGCGGGGUAAUGGCCCACCAAGACGAUGAUCUGUAUCCGGCCUGAGAGGGCGCACGGACACACUGGAACUAAAACACGGUCCAGACUCCUACGGGAGGCAGCAGUGGGGAAUUUUGCGCAAUGGGGGAAACCCUGACGCAGCAACGCCGCGUGGAGGAUGAAAUAUCUUGGUAUGUAAACUCCUUUCGAUGGGGAAGAUUAUGACGUACCCAUAGAAG